rnacentral:lncRNA from 1 species
GCAUUUGAGCUAAAGCAAGGGAAGCAUUUCCCCUUCCCCUGGCUGAAAGCUCAGCUGACCCCGAGGCUCUUCUGGUCAUGCUUAGGUAUGUACAUUUUAUGUCACGAAAUCCAGUAUCGACUUAGAGAUUUAAAGCAGCCACCCAAAGAUAUUAAAUGACUCUUGCAUUUUUCUUCAAAGAGAAAUCUUCUUCCUCCUGCCCUAGUUAAGGCCUUAGUUGGGGGCUGCCAGCUGCCAGGGACUGGGCAUGGUGGCUUUUGUCUAUUCUCUCCCGAAUACCCCUCUCCCCACUUGCUGGUUGCUUUCAGAGUCUAAGUGGAGGUGGUGGGUGAGGAUGCAGGGAAGCGGAUGGGGAGCAGGGGAAUAGGGCAGUUUUUACUUGACUGUAUGAUUGCCAGCUCUCUGGGUGUGGCAGAUGGUGAAAGCUCUUUCUGGAGGGUUCCCUGUGUUCUUCAGAAGUUCCCAUCUCAGCCAGGCUUGGUGGCUCACGCCUAUAAUCCCAGCACUUUGGAAGGCGGAGGCGGGCAGAUCACUGGAGCCCAGGAGUACUAGACCAGCCCGAGCAACAUGGCUAAACCUCAUCUCUACCAAAAAUACAAAAAGUAUCUGGGGGUGGUGCUGCACGCCUGUAGUCCCAGCUACUUGGGAGGCUGAGGCAGGAGGAUUGCUUGAACCCAGGAGGUAGAGGUUGCUGUGAGCCGAGUUUGGGCCACUGGACUCCAGCUUGGGCAACAGAGUGAGACCCUGUCUUAAAAAAAAAAAAAAAAAAAGUUCCCAUCUCUAAGGUUUUCUCCUGAAGUUCCCUGUUCUGCACCUCCAUUUCAGGUACAGCUAUGACUCCAUCUUCAACCCCUAGAAAUCCAGCAUCCUCUUCCAACUUCUUUCUGCUGACAUCCCUUUGCCCUUCUCAGAGGCCCUACAGGACUUAAAAUGACCCCCACCUUGGCCCUCUCUCCUGCCAUGGUCCAUCUGAUCCACAUGUGGCCCAUGGGAAGAACUCACACAGCCCCUUCACUCAUCCUAAUGCAGUCCCUCCUGGCACAGUCCCAUGGGGGCCCACAGCUCCAAGUGGCUGCAUGGAAGCCCCCAUCACUAGGCUUGAGUUGAAAGCAGUAGGGCCCCUAACUCCUUGGUGGGGUAGCUUACAGCAUGGCUUUGCCCUUUCUGGAAGUUUCUAUUUCCAAACUCUCCCCAUUCUCCACACUCUAUAUUGUUGGUAGGCUGAGGGCCCUGAGUGCUAUGCAACUGGUUCCCCAUUAUUUCCUUUGUAAAUACUACAUAUGGGAGUCUGUCUCAUGUUCAGUUUGCUAUCUGAUGAUAUUGUGGUAGCCUGCUUCCACAAUGGCCCCUCAUUGUCCCCAUCUCCUGGUAUUCACAUCAUUGUGUCUCCUCCCUCCGUGAACAGGGCCGACCCUUGUAGCCACUUGCUAUUGCAGAGCUGAUGGCAUGCAUCUUCUGAGGCUAGGUCAUUGUUGUGUGUUUAAUGAUGUCCCCCAGAAGAUAUGUUGCAGCCCUAACCCCCAGGGCCUAUAAAUGUGACCUUUUCUGGAAAUAGUCUUCGCAGUUGUAAUCAAGGGUUGUUCUUGACUAGAGUGGGCCCUACAUCCAAUGACUGGUGUUCUCAUAAGGAGAGAGAGACAAAGAGUAGACAGACACAAGGGAGAAGGCCGUGUGAAGAUGGAGACAGAGAUUGGAAUGAUACAGCCACAAGCCAAGAAACAUCUGCGGCCGUCAGAAGUUGGAAGAGGCAAGGAAUGAUUUAUUCUUUCCCACUCAUUGUUUCACCAAUGAGCACCUUCCAUGUGCCACCGUUCUGACCCUGCUGACAAUGUGGUUUCAGACUUCUGGCCCCCAGAACUGUGAAAGAGUAAAUUUCUGUUAAGUUAUCUUGCUUGUGGUACUUUGUUACAGCAGCCCUGUGGAUCUAAUAUAGUCAUAAGAGACAUUGUGACCUCCUCCCUGCUCUCUUGAACCACUCAUUCUGGGAGAAGUCAGCUGCCAUGUCAUGAAGCUACUCAGGGAGGUCCAUGGAGAGGUCCACAUGGCAAGGAACUGAGGCCUCCUGCCAGUAGCCAGCACCAUCUUGCUGGCCAUGUGAGCGUGCCAUCUUAGAUGCAGAUCAUACGGCCCCAGUCAAGCCUUCAAAUGACUGCAUCCCUACUUGACAUUUUGACUGUAACCUCAUGACAAACCCUAAGCCAGAACACCAGCUAAGCCACUCCCCAAUUCCUCAUCAAGAGAAACUGAGAUAAUAAAUGUUUAUUAUUGUUUUAAGCUACUAAAUUUUGAGGUAAUCUGUUAUGUAGCAAUAGAUAACUAAUACUGAUAUCUGUCAUAUUGGGGCCUCAGUGUAACUUGGAACAGAAAGAGUUCCAUAUUAUAAUUCUUAAACAUUACUUGGAAUGGUUAGGGGCCCCAGUGCUAUUCUCUCUGGGGAUAUUUCCAGCAAUGGGCCCCACAGCCAUUUAUAGUGAGUUGUCCCACUUACUCUUUCACCAGUGAGCACUUUCCAUGUGUCAGAUGCCAUAUUAGAGACUGGGGCUAUAGAAAUGAACAGUCUUUUGGGAGGCCGAGGCAGGUGGAUCACCUGAGGUCAAGAAUUUGAGACCAGUCUGACCAACAUGGAGAAACCCCGUCUCUACUAAAAAAAAAAAAAAUACAAAAUUAGCUGGGUGUGGUGGUGCAUGCCUGUAAUCCCAGCUACUUGGGAGGCUGAGGCAGGAGAAUCACUUGAACCUGAGAGGCGGAGGUUGUGGUAAGCCAAGAUUACACCAUUGCACUCCAGCCUGGGCAACAAGAGUGAAAUUCCAUCUCAAAAAAAGAAAAAAAAGAAAUGAACAGCCCUGUUCUUAAUCACUUAACCAGUGGUCAUUAUGGUCUCUGCUAGUAGAGCACUAUGGGCAAGAAGGACAGCACUGCUUUGCAGGGAAGGGAAAAGAGAGACAUCACUGAGGCACUGAAGAGGAGAAGCAUUCAGUGGUAUGACCUUGAAGAGACAAGAAGAGGACCAAGUUCAAGAGUCUGCAAGAACAGUGGGAGGUAGAGCUGGAACUAGAAUCCAGACACCCCACUUCUAGUCUUGAAUUUGCGCUUCCUGAACUACACAGAGGCUGGCUCAUGGUACCAGGGUCUCUAAAGAUACCUGGAGGCAUGAACUUGAAUCCUGCUGGGAUACUACUCUUUGAAUAAUAAUUUCUCUAUGGAAAGGCAGGGUACAAAGUCUUGGAAUCUUGUUUCUGCUCUGCCAUCUUAGCUAAAUAACUCCCUUUGGAGAUCCUUUGAACCCUGAUAGAUCAGCAAGCCCCCUCUGAAACAUCAUAAGCCUCAGGGCAAGAAGGCUGGCCUUCUCCUCCAUCUGAAUCCCAGCCCUUCUUUUUUUGAGAUGGAGUUUUGCUCUUGUUGCCCAGGCUGGAGUGCAAUGGCGCGAUCUCGGCUCACCACAACCUCUGCCUCCUGGGUUCUAGCGAUUCUCCUGCCUCAGCCUCCUGAGUAGCUGGGAUUACAGGCAUGCAAAACCAUGCCCUGCUAAUUUUGUAUUUUAAGUAGAGACAGGGUUUCUCCAUGUUGGAAAGGCUGGUCUUGAACUCUCGACUUCAGGUGAUCCGCCCGCCUCUAGCCCUUCUUAGUAGUGGUGUUUUCUAAACAGGUUAGAUAAGAAUUUGACACCUGCUGAAAUCUCCAGGCUGGCUCCUCCCAAGGUCAAAUUGCACAUCUUGCCAACGAGAACAGCCUUCACUUCUUGAGCAUCUACUCAGCAGCAAGUGAUUUCUCUAAUCUUCACAACACCCUCUCAAGGCAAGGGAUCAUGGGCCACACUUGGCAAUCUAGGAAAGUGAAGUUCAAGAACAAGCCCCAGGACACACAGCUAGUGACAGCGAGGCACAGAGCUGGGAUUCCAACCCAGGCCUGUCUAACCCUAAAGCUCCUCCUAUCCACCUCCUCCUUGCUGCCACAGAAGGUGACUCAGAGGUACUCAGUCUGGAGAAUUCAAGCCAGUAUCCCAGGAAGUGGAAUUUUCUCCAGUGUUCUAGGAAGGAGGGAUUACCAUGGCAUGGGGUGGGCCAGGUAGACACAAGAGGCAGUGAAGGUGCAUAAAGUGGUGAUUAAAGGGAAUGGAGUCUACUGUGGUUUGGAUAUGGUUGCGUCAACCUAAACUCAUGUUGAAAUUUGACCCUCGGUGUGGUGGUGGUGGGAGGUGGGGCCUAGUGGGAGGUGUCUGGGUCAUGGGGGCAGAUCUCUCAUGAAGGGCUUAGUGCCAUCCUCACAGUGGAGAGUGAGUUUUCACCCUGGCAAGACUGGAUUCUUGUAGGAAUGGAUUUGUUCCCAAGACAGUGGGUUGUUAUAAAGCCAGGAUGCCCCUUGGGUUUUCCCUUCUUUGCAAGUGUUCACUCUCCCUUUGACCUUCUGUAUGUCGCAGCCCUCACCAGAGGCUGAGCAGAUGCUGAGGCCAUGCUUCUUGAUUCUCCCAGCCAACAGAUCUGUAAGCUGAAUAAACCUCUCUUCUUUAUAAAUUACCCCGUCUCAGGUAUCCUGUUAUGGCAACACGAAAUGGACUAAGACAGGCGGGUGACAGAUUGUCCAGGUUUGAAACAUAGCUUUUCCUUGUGCACCGCAUCUCAGGUUCUUCAUCUGAAAAUUGGGGAUAAGAACAUGUACCUCCUUGGGUUUGGGGGAAGAUUAAAUGAGAUAAUGCAUGUGAAAUUCAUGGCAAGAGUAAACUGCCCAUUACAUCUUUCUGCUUUUAACAUUGCUAUUGACAUUACUUUCCCUCCAUGGUCACUAGACUCUUGUAUCAGGCCAGUAUUUGAAGACAGACAAAUUUAAACGAAAUAGAUGUAACUUGGAGGAUGAUGGCAGAGAAAUCUGUGGCUUGACGGUUUUUUUUUUUUUUUUUUUUUUGAGACAGAGUCUUGCACUGUUGCCCAGGCUGGAGUGCAGUAGCAUGAUCUCAGCUCACUGCAACCUCCGCCUCCCGGGUUCAAGCGAUUCUCCUUCCUCAACCUCCCUAGUAGCUGGGAUUACAGGUGCCCGCUACCAUGCCUGCUAAUUUUUUGUAUUUUUAUAGAGACAGGGUUUCACUAUGUUGGCCAGGCUGGUCUCGAACUCCUGACCUCGUGAUCCACCCGUUUCGGCCUCCCAAAGUGCUGGGAUUACAGGCGUGAGCCACCGCGCCUGGCCUUGAAGGUUGUUUUUCUAAUUUUUUUUCCCAGCUCUAAGACAGCUCCCUGUGUAAGAUGAUGAGUGUGAUUAAUUGCAAUCAGCUCCUCUCCAUGUAAUGAGGGAAGCUGGAUGUCAUCCUCUGGCUUCUGUCCAAGCUGAUGCAGUUACCUAUUGUGUCCACAGGAUGUCACUAUCAAUCACGCUUCGACUGAGUACAGCCAAACCAGGAUACUCAGGGACUUGGAAUCUGUUACCAGACUUUUAUUUAGUACAGACACAGCGCCAGGGGGCUGAGCAUUCUUCAGCAACACCCUUUGGACCCCUUUCUACACCAUCAUGCUGUAUGAACAGAAGGGUUGGGGACAUGAAGGAGCAGCUCAGCUAAGGUGACCCAGAUGGUUGGGCUCAGAGCUGGAAGAACACCGUGGUCUUCUGACUCCCAAUUCCUGCAUCUGUCCUGCUUGUAAGAGGCUUGCCAAGAACAGGAGCUUUUGUUUGUAGGUCUCUAGGGAUGGCCACCACAGGGAGUGUGAUUUGAAGAUGGGGUCGGCGUGACAUUACAGGCCCCCUUUAGGCUCUGCUGGGUUGCAGGCCAGCUCUCUGGGCUGCCUUUCUGAUGGCUGCUAUUUUAAAGGCAGAUAGGAUGAAGUUAGCAACAACUUAUAUCAUUAAACUAGCAAGGGCUCAGGAGGGGCAGCCCCCUUCUGGGAAUGUGCCUAGCUCCUGCUCCAGAAUGGAGGAGUUUCUGUGGCUCUAGGAGAGCUGGCCUUCUAUGGAGUCUGAGCAAUGUACCGCACGGGGAGGAGAAGACGCUUCCAGAAGAUACCAGUGUUUCUAUCCAGAGACGUUUCCAGGACACCACGUUAAGCAGCAGAGACACUAGAAGCCAAGGCACCUAUGGUCUGGUGUGGAUGUGUGCCUCCUGUGCCUCAGUGGCAUCAUCCGUACCAUGGGAGGUGUGUAAUGAGGGGUGAGAUCACGUCUGUGAGGGCACGUACAUAGUAGAUGCCCAGGAAGUGCCAGUCCCCAUCUCCUUCCCAGUUUCUUCAAAGCCUUCUGGAAGGCACUGGCAUAGCCCAGUCCUGAGGCACUGCUUUUUCUUUCAUGGAUGAUCAGGAGCUUCUGUGAUUUCUUCCCCCUCACUCUUCAUUUUGCCAAGAUGUUGCCCAUAGUAACCUCAGCAGUGGAGCGAGGAUUCUGCACUGUUCCACUGCCCUGGGGCUGCACACCCACGUGAGCGGGGCCGACCCGUCCCAGAGCGCUUUGCCCUCAGAAGGCAGCAUCACCUGCAGGAGCAAUGCCAUGGACAGCUCUGGCUUGUCCUCCAGGGCCCUGGCAUGGUCAGUGAGAAAAUGCCCCUGGGGCAUGGGCUUCUCCUGUCAGUCAAGUUCAGAAGGCUUCCUGGGGUAGGUAGAGACGCUCCCUACCCAGCUGAGUUAUUGAAAUGAUAGGAGGGAGAAGGGAAGGUCUGGGCAUGUGGCACUGUGAUUUUUUUUUCUUUCUUCUUUUUUUUUUUUUUUUUUUUUGGAGACUCGGGGUAGAAAUGAGGACAGGAAGAAGUACAAUCCGUCUGGGAUUGGUUUAUUUUUAUUGCUUUUUAAAAUCAUGUGACUAAUUGGUGUUCAUUGAAAAAGAGAAAACAAAAAUAAGCCAAGAGAAGACAGCAAAAAUAAUCUGUUAACAUCUUGGCAAAUAUCCUUUUUCUCUGCAUAGAAACGGAGAAUACUUUUGUUUCACUUAUAAAAUGUUUCUUAAUGUACACAGCUUUAUAACCUGCUUUUUGCUUAAUGGGACAAUAUACUAGGACAUGUUUUCAGGCCAACAGAUAAAUAUACUUCACUUGCAU